UAAAUGUGGUGUUACCUCUCCCUAUCUCCUGAUUCAUCUCCACCACCAAUACACUUCCUCCCGAUCUUUCUCAUCGCCAUGUCUGCGCUGCCCAAUCAGCCUCCUUGUGCAGUCGCUCGAUGAUGCUGAUCGACACCAUCGCUCGAUCGUCGGACGCCACCGACCCUCCUCCUCUUCCAAUCUCGUUGACGCCAAGUUAUUCUCCCAAUCUUGACUCUGCCCUAAAUCUCAUCACCCCUCUCCAUUUUCCUUGUGUCGUCGCUGACCUCCACGGCCAGACGUCGAUCGCCAAUCACUUUGCCACUCCGACCGCAAGACACUGGCGCCCCACUCCUAUGCACCACCACAUCCUCUUCUUCCCGGCAGCCAAGCUUUUGGUUGCGCCCUAGAGACGCCGUCGAGCUGCCUCCUUCCAAUCCGACACCACCGUUUCCUCUUGUUGCGGUACUCUCUCUAGAUUUGGAGAAGAGGGGAGCUCUAAUUCCACUAUAGUAGCAUUUGGAUUUUUGACAAAGAGGAAGCUACAGAUCUGGAUUAAGGCUCCUUGCUAAUUGACCACAUUAAUCGGAAGGUCUGUCGGUAGUCUAGGAAGCAGAACAAAGACCAUGGUCACCAUUGCAACAGUAGACUUUGGCAGCGUGAAGAUUUCUAUGGUGUUCUAUUGUCGCAGGCCAUCCCUCCAGUCAUGAACUAUCAACAAACAUCAUUGGAUUGUGGUAACAAGUAGAGGAUUUAUGGAGUUGCCUAGAGAUCAUGUCCGCCAGUCCCAUGUCACAUCAAGCGCCUUUUUCCGUUAUUGCUUUUGUUCGCAUUAUUAGCUUUGGAUUUGUUUGUGUAUAUGUAUCUUUUGAAUGGAGUUUAGCUUUGUGGUUUCUUAUAUUUGGUUUGAUGUUGUUGUGUCAAGCCAACCUGACACGUAGUUAGUUGUAUUGUGGUUUUGUGGUUGUUAUUUUGUGACUUUCGUUGUGUUUUGUUUCA